GUCUCUGUAGCGUGAUGGACAGUGUGUGUGCGUUGAACUUCUAAUCCAAAGGUCGUGGAUUCAAAUCCCACCUGGGAUG